GACGAACGCUGGCGGCGUGCUUAACACAUGCAAGUCGAGGGCACUUUGGUCGCAAGACUGGAGUGACCGGCGAACGGGUGCGUAACACGUGAGCGACCUUGCCUCGUGGUGGGGGAUAGCCGGCCCAACGGCCGGGUAAUACCGCAUAGGGUGCUUUCUUCGCAUGGAGAGAGUAGCAAAACCGUGCAGCAAUGCACUGGCGCCACAGGGGGCGGUCNCGGCCGUAC
rnacentral:rRNA from 1 species